rnacentral:rRNA from 1 species
GGAUGAUCUACCCAUGAGUUAGGAAUAACGGCUGGAAACGGUCGCUAAUACCAAAUACGCUCCGAUUUCAACUUCGGGGGGAAAGGUGGCCUCUGCUUGCAAGCUACUGCUCAUGGAUGAGUCCGCGUCCCAUUAGCUAGUUGGUGGGGUAACGGCCCACCAAGGCGACGAUGGGUAGCCGGUCUGAGAGGAUGACCGGCCACACUGGGACUGGAACACGGCCCAGACCCCUACGGGAGGCAGCAGUGGGGAAUAUUGCGCAAUGGGCGAAAGCCUGACGCAGCGACGCCGCGUGAGGGAUGAAAGGUCCUCGGAUCGUAAACCUCUGUCAGGAGGGAAGAACCGCCACGGUGCUAAUCAGCCGUGGUCUGACGGUACCUCCAAAGGAAGCACCGGCUAACUCCGUGCCAGCAGCUGC